GAGCACAUGUCCCAUCUAACGGGCCACUGGAGGCCAGGAUAUAGACCUGGUGCUGCCAGAUCAUCCAAUUUUUCCCAAAAAAGCCCCAAAUUCAGAUGUGAAUGUGAAAUUUCCAGAUCUUUAAAUGUUGUCUCAAAAAAAUGUAUUUUUUUAAUUCUCCACCAUCUAACCAGGGCACCGCUGGCCACAUUCAGCCUAUGGCUCACUACUCCACACACAUCUUUUGGUCUUCGAAAAAAUGUCCCAGGCACCACGGGAGGACGAGUACUUAGGGUGCAGUCGAAAUUGACCAGUCAUGGCAUCAAUUGUGGGAGGAUCUUGACCUUCUGGGAAGAAUCUAAGCUUCCUGAAUGCCCAAACUGACAACUUCCAGGCGCCCUGCUCAAUGUCUGGCAUAUAGUAAGUGCUCAACAAUCAUCUCUUAAAGAUUCCCACUGGAUGAGUACUCAGGACACGUUGGUCAAUGUGGAAAGAGCUACCUGGAAGUUUAACCUCAGAUUCUGCCAAGUCUUAAGAGAAAAGCAGAAACCAGCCAAGGUGUGGAAGGCAGUUCCGUCCAGAAGGAAGGAGGUGAACAUGCAAAGACCCAGGCCCGGGGAACAUUCUGGGGACAGCUAGGCGCCCCAUGAGAUGUCAGUGGGGUGGUGGCCGCCAAUGAAGCUACGGUGAAGCACAGAGCCUUUGAUACAUGCAAACCCUGGAGAUAUUAGAAAGCCAAGGGGAGGGGGCGCCUGGGGGCUCAGCCAGUUGAGCGUCUGACUUCGGCUCAGGUCAUGAUCUCCUAGUU